CCCCCAGCACUUGGCACCUUAUUUUUCUUCUUCUUCUUUCCUUACUUAAAGAGACGACGUCCACCUGAAGAAGAUGCUCCCACUACAUUCACCAUCUCUUUGUGGAGCGAGUGAUCUUUCUCAAAAGUCUGCAGCAACCCCAACAGUUCAUGGUAGUUUACUAUAGGCUUCAUCAUUCGAUAAUGACUGAAAAAAGGUAAGUAGGACUUUGACAAAAAAUUUAGAAUCAUAUCUUUCCCAAGCUGCUCGUGCAAGGGAAAGCUGAGAUUGGUAAGGUGCUCGAUCUGUUUGAUCAUGUACAAUACAUGAUCCAUUACUGAUGCCCCUCUCUCAUCCUAGCAUUAAAAAUGGCACAACUGGUCUUGUGCCGCUCAAC
rnacentral:lncRNA from 1 species